GACGAACGCUGGCGGCGUGCCUAACACAUGCAAGUCGAGCGAGGAACUUCGGUUCCUAGCGGCGGACGGGUGAGUAACACGUGGGUAACCUGGCUCAUAGAGGGGGAUAGCCUCUCGAAAGGGAGAUUAAUACCGCAUAAGAAGCGAAAGUCGCAUGGCUUUAGCUUUAAAGGAGUAAUCCGCUAUGAGAUGGGCCCGCGGCGCAUUAGCUAGUUGGUGAGGUAACGGCUUACCAAGGCGACGAUGCGUAGCCGACCUGAGAGGGUGAUCGGCCACAUUGGAACUGAGACACGGUCCAGACUCCUACGGGAGGCAGCAGUGGGGAAUAUUGCACAAUGGGCGAAAGCCUGAUGCAGCAACGCCGCGUGAGUGAUGACGGCCUUCGGGUUGUAAAGCUCUGUCUUUGGGGACGAUAAUGACGGUACCCAAGGAGGAAGCCACGGCUAACUACGUGCCAGCAGCCGCAGUAA
rnacentral:rRNA from 1 species